UACGUAGGGCGCAAGCGUUGUCCGGAAUUAUUGGGCGUAAAGAGCUCGUAGGCGGUUUGUCGCGUCUGCUGUGAAAUUUCGAGGCUCAACCUCGAACUUGCGGUGGGUACGGGCAGACUAGAGUGUGGUAGGGGAGAUUGGAAUUCCUGGUGUAGCGGUGGAAUGCGCAGAUAUCAGGAGGAACACCGAUGGCGAAGGCAGAUCUCUGGGCCGUAACUGACGCUGAGGAGCGAAAGCAUGGGGAGCGAACAGG
rnacentral:rRNA from 1 species